CUGCACAGUCACUAAGUAUUCACAAAGCGUAUAUACAACAGUUUUUGAUUCACACACACACACACACACACACACACACACACACACACACACACACACACACACACACACACACA